CGGUUUGCCGCUCUAAAA
rnacentral:piRNA from 1 species